AACCCGUAGAUCCGAACUUGCGGUCGGACCAAUCACACAGGCUCGAGUCUGCGGGCCUG
rnacentral:pre_miRNA from 1 species